GUUUGCUUUCUGAGAUGGCUGCAUAGCUUUCAUCUUGUGAAUUCCUGUCACAAGGUGAGGAGUUACAGGCUCAGAAAGGAAAAAUCAUUUGCCUGAGGACCCACACUAGAAGCUGAGGAAGCUGCAAUUUAAAUCAGAGGGCAGUGCCUCAGAUAUCAGGCUGGACCCAGGGCCAGCUGGAACUAGAGCUGGGGACUUCGCUAGAGAGACCGCACCAGCCUGAGGCCCAGGAGAAAUUAAACUAGGCUGCCCUUUGAAUACUGUAAGUGACAUUGGGGAAUACCCAGGGAUGGACUGUGGGACUUCACCCUACUGUUAAAAGUAUAUUAUACUACAGUAAUAUAUUGUGUUCAUGUCUAACAAUUUGAGUUGUAUGAUAUUCUUUGAUACAGGUUGGCCAUUAAGGCUUGCAAGUCUCUAG